ACUUAAGUAGUUUAAAAAAAAUACUAAUUUGUGGAAUUGGUGAUGUAGAAAGAUACUAUCUUAGGUU
rnacentral:tRNA from 1 species